UACGAAGGGGGCUAGCGUUGCUCGGAAUCACUGGGCGUAAAGCGCACGUAGGCGGAUUGUUAAGUCAGGGGUGAAAUCCUGGAGCUCAACUCCAGAACUGCCUUUGAUACUGGGAAUCUCGAGUCCGGAAGAGGUGAGUGGAACUGCGAGUGUAGAGGUGAAAUUCGUAGAUAUUCGCAAGAACACCAGUGGCGAAGGCGGCUCACUGGUCCGGUACUGACGCUGAGGUGCGAAAGCGUGGGGAGCAAACAGG
rnacentral:rRNA from 1 species